CAGCACCGCGGUAAUACGAAGGGGGCUAGCGUUGCUCGGAAUUACUGGGCGUAAAGGGAGCGUAGGCGGAUCGUUAAGUUGGGGGUGAAAGCCCGGGGCUCAACCUCGGAAUUGCCUUCAAUACUGGCGAUCUUGAGUAUGGAAGAGGUAUGUGGAACUCCGAGUGUAGAGGUGAAAUUCGUAGAUAUUCGGAAGAACACCAGUGGCGAAGGCUACAUACUGGUCCAUUACUGACGCUGAGGCUCGAAAGCGUGGGGAGCAAACAGGAUUAGAUACCCCAGUAGUCCCUGUCUCUUAUACA
rnacentral:rRNA from 1 species